AAGUUUCAUCAUCCAAUACUCUCUUUUUUUAGCUUUCAUUUUUCUGCUCAUAGAAGCUUAAAUUUGUUCUUGAAUUUUGAUUGUUUCUUCUGCAAGUCACGAGCCUUGUUGCUCAAGUCUCAGCUGACUUUGCUUAUAACACCAACAAAAUCCCGAUUUCUGAAACUCUACUUUAAUGGCGUUCAACGUUUAAUGGUGUGGUUUGGAUGAUGUUUCAU
rnacentral:lncRNA from 1 species